rnacentral:rRNA from 1 species
UUUGCCUCAAUUAUGUAUGAGUACCCGCUGAACUUAAGCAUAUCGUUAAGCGGAGGAAAAGAAACUAAAUAGGAUUUCCGUAGUAACUGCGAGUGAACUGGAAUUAGCCCAUCACGAAAUCUAUAUUACAUUCGUAAUAUCGAAAUGUCGUGUAUAGGUUUUAUUAUUAUUGAUAUAAUAUUAUUAAAUAAUUGUAUUUAAAUAUACAGCCACAGAAGGUGCCAGCCCUGUUGUUUAAUAAUAUUUAUCAAAUUUAUAAAACUUUAGAGUCGUGUUGCUUGGAAGUGCAGCGCAAAGUUGGUGAUAAACAUCAUCUAAGGCUAAAUAUUCCUAUGAAUCCGAUAGCGAACAAGUACUGUGAAGGAAAAUUGCAAAGUACUCCGGAGAGAGAGUUAAAGAGGACGUGAAACCGAUACGAUGGAAGCAUACAGAGCCAGUUGCACUAUUAUUAAUAUUUAUUAAUAAUUUUAAGCAUGGGUAUAUUGAUAUGAUAAUUAGUUAUUUAUUAAAGAGUGAUAAAAAUAUUUUAUUUUUGUUAACUUUAAUAAAAUAAUUAUAUUAUUAAUUAAUAUUUAUAUUAUCAAUUUAUUAAUAAUAUAAUAUUUUAUUAAUAUUAUAUAAGACACAUGUGUUAAAUAUAAUUUAUUAAUAAUUAUUAUAUUAUUAUAUAUUGAUAUUCCUAUGUAAUCCUGGUAUGCUGUAUGUCCCGUCUUGAAACACGGACCAAGGAGUGUAUUGCUAUGGCAAGUCAUUGAUAUUGUUAAUAUCAAAGGCGUAAUGAAAAUAAUUUUAAUCUCUGAUCUUUUGAUUUUAUUAUCAUUAGCGCAUGAGAAACGUAAAUAUAUGAUAUAAUCAUUUUUUGCAGUUAUAGCCAUAGUAGUGCGACCCGAAAGAUGGUGAACUAUACUAGUGCAGGGUGAAGUCAGAAGAAAUUCUGAUGGAAGCUCGAAGCGGUCCUGACGUGCAAAUCGGUCGUCUGACAUUAGUAUAGGGGCGAAAGACUAAUCGAACCAUCUAGUAGCUGGUUCCGGCCGAAGUUUCCCCCAGGAUAGCUGAAACUGAUAUACAGAUACAUCCGGUAAAGCUAAUGUUUAGAGGAAUAGGGAAUAAUAUAUUCUUUAUCUAUUUACAAACUAUAAAUGGGUGUGAUAUUAUGAUUGCUUAAUUGAAUCAUAAUUUCGAUUGUAUAGUUUCAAGUGGGCCAUUUUUGGUAAGCAGAACUGGCGACGUGGGAUGAACCAAAAGUAUUGUUAAAGUGCCUAAAUUUUUGCUCAUCAGACCCCAUAAAAAGUGUUGUUUGAUCCUGACAGCAGGGCGGUGGCCAUGGAAGUCGGAAUCCGCUAAGGAUCGUGUAACAACUCACCUGCCGAAUCAAGCAGCCUUGAAAAUGGAUGGCGCUUGAGCAAAAUACUUAGACAAUACCAUAUAUUUAUUUUUUUUUAAAAAAAAUAUAUGUGUAGGCUGGCGUGAUAAUAGCAUUGAAGGUUAUAAGCGUAAGCUUGACUGGAGCUGUUAUUAGUGCAGAUCUUGGUGAUAGUAGCAAAUACACAAGUGAGAAUCUUGUGGACCGAAGUGGAAAAGGGUUUCACGUCAACAUCAUUUGACUGUGAGUUAGUCGGUCCUAAGCUAAAAUUGAAAAAUUUUUAUUCAUAUAUAGCGAAAGGGAAAUAGAUUAAUAUUUCUAUACUAUCUAUGGAGAUAAUAUAGGAUAAUAACUAUAUUAUGCAUGGUAACAUAAAUGAAAUUAACUACAAUAUAACAAGUUUUGGGUAGAGAUAUCUUCUCUAUUUAAGUUAUUAAAUCUAUGGAAAUUGCUCAGCAAGAGAUAUAGAUGAAAUUUUAACGUAGAGUACUAACAUUUUGUUGGUAUCCAAAGUGCUUGUUAUAUUACUUAAAAAGUUAAUGGAAGCAUAAUAAAUUUCAUAGAAUAACCGUACCCAUAUCCGCAACAGGUUUCCAAGAUGUUUAGUCUCUGGUCGAUGAAAUAAUGUAGGUAAGGGAAGUCGGCAAAAUAGAUUCGUAACUUUGGGAAAAGAAUUGGCUCUUGAGAUGUAGAUAUUCGGGUAUCAUGUAUUCAAUGGUUAUUUAAUUAAUAUAAAAUGAAUACUAGUAAUAGUUAUUUGAUUUAUAUUUAUUGAUAAUCAUUAACAUAAUACUUACAAAUAUUUGAAAUAUAAUAUUUUAACGAAUAUCAUUUUAUAUACAUUAAUCAAGAACUGGCACGGACAAGAGGAAUCCGACUGUCUAAUUAAAACAGAGGAGACAGAUGAUGCUAGAUGCAUGUAGACUGUGUCUGAUUUCUGCCCAGUGCAAUGAAUGUUAUCAUUGGGAAACCAAUUGAAGCUCUUGUAAACGGCGGGAGUAACUAUGACUCUCUUAAGGUAGCCAAAUGCCUCGUCGGGUAAUUUCCGACGCGCACGAAUGGAUUAACGAGAUUCCUACUGUCCCUAUCUACCAUUCAGCGAAAUCACAGCCAAGGGAACGGGCUUGGCAAAAACAGCGGGGAAAGAAGACCCUGUUGAGCUUGACUCUAGCUAGGCAUUGUGAAGUGUCAUAUGAGGUGUAGCAUAGGUGGGAGUUAUUUUAUAACGAUCUUGAAAUACCACUACUUAUAUUGAUAUUUUACUUAGUUGAUUAAAUGGAAAUUUUAUAUAUUAAUUUAUAUAAUAAUUUUUGUAUUAAAUUAAUAUCUUUGAGAUAUUUAAUAAUCCACGUCAAUGACCAUGUCUGGCGGGGAGUUUGACUGGGGCGGUACAUCUAUCAAACUGUAACGUAGGUGUCCUAAGGCAAACUCAAAGAGGACAGAAACCUCUUGUAGAGUAAAAGGGCAAAAGUUUGCUUGAUCAUGAUUUUCAGUACGAAUACAGACCCUGAAAGGGUGGCCUAUCGAUCCUUUUGUAUUAGUAUGUUUCUAAAAAGAGGUGCCAGAAAAGUUACCACAGGGAUAACUGGCUUGUGGCAGCCAAGAGUCCAUAUCGACGUUGCUUUUUGACGUGGAUUAUUAAAUAUCUCAAAGAUAUUAAUUUAAUACAAAAAUUAUUAUAUAAAUUAAUAUAUAAAAUUUCCAUUUAAUCAACUAAGUAAAAUAUCAAUAUAAGUAGUGGUAUUUCAAGAUCGUUAUAAAAUAACUCCCACCUAUGCUACACCUCAUAUGACACUUCACAAUGCCUAGCUAGAGUCAAGCUCAACAGGGUCUUCUUUCCCCGCUGUUUUUGCCAAGCCCGUUCCCUUGGCUGUGAUUUCGCUGAAUGGUAGAUAGGGACAGUAGGAAUCUCGUUAAUCCAUUCGUGCGCGUCGGAAAUUACCCGACGAGGCAUUUGGCUACCUUAAGAGAGUCACAGCGUU